UUUAAUUUCUUCCUCUGAAAUAUUCAUAAAGUCAGAAGUUAUACAUGUUUGUUGCAAAAACUGAAAUAUUCCGGAAAUAAACACAGGGUAAAUUGAAAGCCUCCUAGGAAAGCAUGUCACCUGUUCCUUUGUCUCUUUCCCUAGGGUAUCACGGUUAGCAGUUCUGACUGUAUACCUAGUACUGUGUGGAUGUCAGAUGUUUUGUAAUAUUGAGAACCCAAAGCCGCAUUUAUAUAAUGAUUCUUAGAAUAAUAUUGUGAAACUUGUGAAAAAACUAUUAUAGAUCCGCAUUUAAACUAUCAUCCAGAUUUUACGUUAUGAUCCAGGAGAGACCACAUGGUUUCCUGGAAAGAGCCAUGGACUUAAGUGAGUCCCUGAACUAGCUUAGCUCAUCAUUUGACCACUCUGUGAUUUAAUGUGCUUAUUUGUAAACUGGAAUAUUUGAGUUCAGAUUAUUCCGAAUAUUCCUGCUAGCCCUAGAAUUGCACAUGUGUACAGUAUUGGAAGCCCCAGCUUUCGUGAAGAUCUUUCCUAUUUGGUAGUAUCCAAUACCUAUCUUCAUUCAAUACUUUACUAAUAUUGAGGGACAGUAAUAUGUUAUCUGCUGUUCAUGUCAGGUGUUGUUUGAAAGAUGAUUUCUGAUUUCUCCUUGAAUUAUUAUUUCUGACAAUAAAUAUUCUCCAAAAGUGCCGGUGCCAUUUUUAGAUAUCCACAUCUUUAAAAACAGAGAAAUAAGAAUCUGGUAGAAAUUAAACAAUUAGUGGCUAGAGGAAUCAGGCAAACUACAAUACAAUUUUCUUUUUAGGGCGAAGAAGGAAUUUCUCUUUGUUGUGGGAAAGACAUGCAGGAGAUAAAAAACAAGAAUAGAAAAAUUCAUGGGAACCAAGCAUGGAGGGCCAACUAUCUGGGCAACUGGAAUGGAAUUGUGGUCACUGAGGCUCCUGGAAAUGACUGCUGCGCCCCUGUGGAUGCUACUUUUCCCCACAACAGUUGAGACUGCAAAAAAAGAUGUUCUCUUAAUUGACUCACAUUUCUAAAAUUCCUUCUUGGUCCAAAAUGAGCUACUGGGAAGAGAGACUCACCUUUCCUCCUAAGCAAGAAAUUUGAAAAACACCUUGUCAUAAGAAACCUGAGAAUCAACUCAACAUGAAGGAAAACAGAAUCUAGAGAUGGAGACAUAGCAGAUCCUAGAGUUAUUAUUUGAAUUUCUGGAACAAGCACUAUCUGAAGCCAUUAUCAUUUGUCCUUUUCAAUUACUCAAGCCAAUAAACUUCUCUUAUUUCUGUUUGAUUUUAGCAGAGUUUAUUUUUCUUUGUUUGUCAAAUAAGGUGGAUAUGGAAAUUUGAAAUUAACUCUUUUGGAAAAUUCAAGUGGUGGAUUCUUC
rnacentral:lncRNA from 1 species